UUUUUAAAAAAAAAAGGCCCCUUUCCCGUGGGGAAACCCUGGGAAAGGGCCCUUUAUAGAUUUUAAAACAGGGGUUGAAGGGCCCCUUGAGGGGCAUGCCCACCCCGGGCUCUCCCACUUUACCCCUUGCACAUUUUUUGGGGUUUUCGGGAGUUGAAAAAGCGAAAAAAGGGCCCUUCAGGGGCUUUUUCUCGCCUAUUUGUUACUGGGCCUAGGUUUCACUACAAACACAUUUAUAAAGUCUGAAAAUGUAUAUUGCGAUGUAACGCAUCUAUAUACAAUUUUCAGAAAGGUUUCUUUGGUCUCUCCCAUCGAAGAAGAACGCAGCAAAGUGCGAUAAGUAAUGAAAAUCGCAGAAUUCAGAGACUCAUAAACUCUUAAAACGCCCCUUCCCCUCUUGGAUUUCCCGGGGCCCACCCCUUUUUGAGUGUCAGAAAUUUCUAACCCAAAGGGUUUUUAAAGGGAAUUUGUUUAGGCUUGGCCUGGGAGGUUUUGGUCGCCUUGCUCCAAUGCCAAUUGGGCUCUUUUAAAAUCCAUAAGCUGGGUUCCUGUGGGGUUCGGCCCCCGGUGUGAUAAUUGUUUCCCCCUCGACGGCUGACCUUUUUAUAGCCCAGCUUCUAGUCUUCUCUUUACGAGACAAUAAUCAUCGAACUCUGACCUCAAAUCAGGUAGGACUACCCGCUGAACUUAAGCCAACAAGGGG
rnacentral:rRNA from 1 species